rnacentral:snRNA from 1 species
ACCAUAAGGUUCCUCUGCAUUUAAUCGAGAAAAUCUUUCGCCUUUUACUGAAGACUUCCGUGCAAAGGUGCAGUUUAUGAGUAUAUGAGAAUUUUUGGAAUCCCCUAGAAAGAUCGGCAU